UACAGAGGGUGCGAGCGUUGUCCGGAAUCACUGGGCGUAAAGGGCGCGUAGGCGGCCUUCUAAGUCAGACGUGAAAUCCCCCCGGCUUAACCUGGGACUGCGUCUGAUACUGGGAGGCUAGAGUGCGGGAGAGGGAUGCGGAAUUCCAGGUGUAGCGGUGAAAUGCGUAGAUAUCUGGAGGAACACCGGUGGCGAAGGCGGCAUCCCUGGACCGACACUGACGCUGAGGCGCGAAG
rnacentral:rRNA from 1 species